rnacentral:rRNA from 1 species
UCCACUUAACUUGGAGUCCGAACUCUCACUUUCUAACCCUGUGCAUUUGUUUGGGAUAGUAACUCUCGCAAGAGAGCGAACUCCUAUUCACUUAUAAACACAAAGUCUAUGAAUGUAUUUAAUUUUAUAACAAAAUAAAACUUUCAACAACGGAUCUCUUGGCUCUCGCAUCGAUGAAGAACGCAGCGAAAUGCGAUAAGUAAUGUGAAUUGCAGAAUUCAGUGAAUCAUCGAAUCUUUGAACGCACCUUGCGCUCCAUGGUAUUCCGUGGAGCAUGCCUGUUUGAGUGUCAUGAAUACUUCAACCCUCCUCUUUCUUAAUGAUUGAAGAGGUGUUUGGAUUCUGAGCGCUGCUGGCCUUACGGUCUAGCUCGUUCGUAAUGCAUUAGCAUCCGCAAUCGAACUUCGGAUUGACUUGGCGUAAUAGACUAUUCGCUGAGGAAUUCUAAUCUUCGGAUUAGAGCCGGGUUAGGUUAAAGGAAGCUUCUAAUCAGAAUGUCUACAUUUUAAGAUUAGAUCUCAAAUCAGGUAGGACUACCCGCUGAACUUAAGCAUAUCA